rnacentral:rRNA from 1 species
UACAGAGGUCCCAAGCGUUGUUCGGAUUCACUGGGCGUAAAGGGUGCGUAGGCGGUCGGGUAGGUCUGAUGUGAAAUCUCACAGCUUAACUGUGAAACUGCAUUGGAUACUAUCCGGCUCGAGGAAUGGAGGGGAGACUGGAAUACUUGGUGUAGCAGUGAAAUGCGUAGAUAUCAAGUGGAACACCAGUGGCGAAGGCGAGUCUCUGGACAUUUCCUGACGCUGAGGCACGAAAGCCAGGGGAGCAAACGGG